ACGGGAGGCAGCAGUCGAGGAUCAUUUGCAAUGGGCGAAAGCCUGACAAUGCGACGCUGCGUGGAGGAUGAAGGCCUUCGGGUUGUAAACUCCUGUCAUAGGGGAACAGGCGAGGGGACCCAACACGUCCCUUAGUUGAGUGUACCCUAAGAGGAAGCGACGGCUAACUCUGUGCCAGCAGCCGCGGUAAUACAGAGGUCGCGAGCGUUGUUCGGAUUUACUGGGCGUAAAGGGCGCGUAGGCUGCGAAGUGUGUCGGAUGUGAAAUCUCCGGGCCCAACCCGGAAAGUGCGUCCGAAACUGCUUCGCUGGAGGACGGAAUGGGGAAUCGGAAUGCAGGGUGUAGCGGUGAAAUGCGUUGAUAUCCUGCAGAACACCGGAGGCGAAGGCGGAUUCCUGGUACGUAUCUGACGCUGAGGCGCGAAAGUCGGGGGAGCAAACAGGAUUAGAUACCCUGGUA
rnacentral:rRNA from 1 species